rnacentral:rRNA from 1 species
ACAAUAAUGCUAGCUAAACUUUUAAAUUAAACAUAACAAAUCACCUCCAAAUAAACUAAAACAUUCACUAUCCUAGUAUAGGCGAUAGAAAAGACACACGACGCAAUAGACCAAGUACCGUAAGGGAAAGCUGAAAAAGAAGUCAAACAACUCACAAAAGUACUAAAAAGCAGGAACUAACCCCCGUACCUUUCGCAUCAUGAUUUAACAAGUCUGACCAGGCAAAAAGACUUUUAGCCUGGCCCCCCGAAACCAGAUGAGCUAUUUUAAAGCAGCCUAUUACAGGGCCUACCCGUCUCUGUAGCAAAAGAGUGGGGAGACUUUAAAAUAGAGGUGACAUGCCUACCAAAUCUGGUGAUAGCUGGUUGCUCAAUAAACGAGUCUAAGCUCCGCUGCAACUCUUACUAAUAUAAUGCCAUAUUAAAUUAAAACUCAACAGCCACUCAUAAGAGGUACAGCUCUUAUGAGACAGGACACAACCUAAGACAAUAGGUAAUGAUUACAACACCCAAGGAAUAUAACCCUAGUAGGCCCAACAGCAGCCACCCACUUUAACCGCGUUACAGCAUAAGCAUAAACACACCCAAAAAUCCAAAUCAUUUAUCAAACCCUAUAAAACCAAAUGAGCCAGCCUAUAACCCUAUAGCCAGUUAAUGUUAAAACUAGUAAUGAGAAAGCACGACUCUCUCAAAGCGCCAGUGUAACUCAGACCAGACAAACUACUGACAAUUACCGACCUAUUGGCCAAACUAACACCUAAGCAAGAAACUUGCCUAAUGUAACCGUUAACCUUACACAAGAGCGCUAAUCAGAAGACCAUAAGACAAAGAAGGAAUUAGGCAAAUCACACAAGCUUCGCCUGUUUACCAAAAACAUCGCCUCUAGCUACACAUAUUAGAGGUACUGCCUGCCCAGUGACACUGAUUCAACGGCCACGGUAUUUUGACCGUGCAAAGGUAGCAUAAUCACUUGUUUUUUAAAUAAAGACCUGUAUGAAAGGCAACACGAAAGCUUAACUGUCUCCUUUGUCUAGUCCACGAAACUGAUCUCCCUGUAAAAAAGCAGGAAUAAACCCGUAAGACGAGAAGACCCUAUGGAGCUUAAGAUAAAAACAACCCCCUGCCCCAUAACCAGCAGCAACUUGUUUUCACUAUCUUCAGUUGGGGCGACUGCGGAGCACACAAACCCUCCGUGAAUCAUUCGCUGAACAACACAAGCCAACGCACCAAAACAUUUUAAACAACUGAUCCAAUAAAUUGAUCAACGAACCAAGCUACCCUAGGGAUAACAGCGCCAUCUUCUUUCAGAGUCCUUAUCGACAAGAAGGUUUACGACCUCGAUGUUGGAUCAGGGUACCCAGACAAUGCAACCGUUGUCAUAGGUUUGUUUGUUCAACAAUUAAAACCCUACGUGAUCUGAGUUCAGACCGGAGCAAUCCAGGUCAGUUUCUACCUACGCAUUAAUUUCUCCUAGUACGAAAGGACCGGAGAAACAGGGCCAAUAUAUUAUACACGCCCUCACAGUAACUAUGAACACAACUAAAUUGCUAAUACACCACAACACCCCAAAACAAGGGGUCAAA